rnacentral:rRNA from 1 species
AGAGUUUGAUCCUGGCUCAGAACGAACGCUGGCGGCAGGCUUAAUACAUGCAAGUCGAACGGUUGUAGCAAUACAGCAGUGGCAGACGGGUGAGUAACACGUGGGAACCUACCUAGGGGUACGGAAUAACUCAGGGAAACUUGUGCUAAUUCCGUAUACGACCUCAGGGUGAAAGAUUUAUCGCCCCUAGAUGGGCCCGCGUUGGAUUAGCUAGUUGGUGAGGUAAAAGCUCACCAAGGCGACGAUCCAUAGCUGGUCUGAGAGGAUGAUCAGCCACGCUGGGACUGAGACACGGCCCAGACUCCUACGGGAGGCAGCAGUAGGGAAUCUUGGACAAUGGGCGAAAGCCUGAUCCAGCCAUGCCGCGUGAGUGAUGAAGGCCUUAGGGUUGUAAAGCUCUUUCGCCAGGGAAGAUAAUGACGGUACCUGGAUAAGAAGCCCCGGCUAACUUCGUGCCAGCAGCCGCGGUAAUACGAAGGGGGCUAGCGUUGUUCGGAAUUACUGGGCGUAAAGCGCACGUAGGCGGUUUUCCAAGUUGGAGGUGAAAUCCCCGGGCUUAACCUGNGAACUGCCUCCAAGACUGGGAGACUCGAGUCCGAGAGAGGUGAGUGGAAUUUCCAGUGUAGAGGUGAAAUUCGUAGAUAUUGGAAAGAACACCAGUGGCGAAGGCGGCUCACUGGCUCGGUACUGACGCUGAGGAGCGGCAGCGUGG